UGUGGUAAAAUCCUAUAUCUUGUUUAUUAAUGUGUUGAAUUGACAAGUCAAGCUAGUAGAUAUUUAUAAUAUUAUAGUGGCAUGAUUGGAUGUUUUUAAAUAAAGAUUUACAAAAACUAUGCUAGUUUGGUAGCCCAUACUCGGAAUUGGUCUGCAUUUAAGUUAUCCAAGUACACACACACAGUAGUGAGAAGUGAACACACCGUGAACACAUACACAGAUUAGUGGGCAGCUAUAGAUCCUGCGCCCUGGGAGCAACUGAGGGGUUCAGCAGAACAGGUUAUUUUGCCAGGUGAGGGGGCGUGUUUUGGAGGGUAAGUGACGUCAAUGUAACCUUUUAUUUAAACUGCUGAGAAUGACGGUUCUGGCACUCAGUUGGACUGUUUGUUGAAGUCUGUGUAAAAUGGAGAAAAGUGAAAGCAACAUGGUUGUUUCCAGGUUUGGGAAGAAAGACUUCGUUGUACCUAAAGGUCUGAAUGUUUGCUUCUUGACGGAUUCCAUGUGCCGUGGUUUGGACCAAUACUGUGAGGGCGCAUAUUGUUG